rnacentral:rRNA from 1 species
CUUUGACCUGAACUCAGUCGAGAGCACCCGCUGAACUUAAGCAUAUCAGUAAGCGGAGGAAAAGAAACUAAACAGGAUUCCCCCAGUAACGGCGAGUGAACAGGGAAAUGUCCAUCGCUAAAUCAUUUUGCCUCAGGCAUUAUGAGGUGUAGCGUAUAAGCCGUAAUCUUUGAUCUUUUGUCUCAAACAAGUCCCCUUGACAGGGGUUCCACAGAGGGUGCAAGUCCUGUACAUUGAGAUAAUUGAUCAAUAUUUGCGUGCUUUAGAGUCGGGUUGUUUGGGAUCGCAGCCCAAAGUCGGUGGUAAACUUCAUCUAAGACUCAAUAUUGCCACGAGACCGAUAGCAAACAAGUACUGUGAAGGAAAGUUGCAAAGCACUUUGAAGAGAGAGUUAAAGAGGACGUGAAACCGGUGAGGUGGAAACGGAUAGAGUCGGCGUAUCUUUCAAGUAUUCAUUUACAUUAUUUUUGUGUUGUGAUCUCUGAGCUCCAGAUUGGGACAGAAAGAAGCCGCAUAAUAUUCUGUGAUGCAUUUACUUGUUUGGUGCUUGGGGAUGUUCGAGGCAGAUUUGUAACCGCCGUUUUGAGGCCAGCUUGCUGGUACCCAAACGGUGUUAGCAUUUUUUGCCUUGGACAUUUGAGUAUGGCUUACGGGCAUUUAUUGGUUCGAUCUGAGUGUUAGUUACGGUCGCAUGCGACACGUGCUUUUCAAUUAGCCCGGUCCAGUUAAUGCUCUCGUACUCCUUCCCCAAGUAAAAGCCGGUCAUCNGCAGAUUUGUAACCGCCGUUUUGAGGCCAGCUUGCUGGUACCCAAACGGUGUUAGCAUUUUUUGCCUUGGACAUUUGAGUAUGGCUUACGGGCAUUUAUUGGUUCGAUCUGAGUGUUAGUUACGGUCGCAUGCGACACGUGCUUUUCAAUUAGCCCGGUCCAGUUAAUGCUCUCGUACUCCUUCCCCAAGUAAAAGCCGGUCAUCUAUCCGACCCGUCUUGAAACACGGACCAAGGAGUUUAUCGUGUGCGCAAGUUUUUGGGUGUUAAAAACCUAAAGGCAAAAUGAAAGUAAAUGACUCUUUAGAGUCUGAUGUGCGAUCUUGUAAAAAAGUGCAGCAUGGCCCCAUUCUAACUGUUUACAGUAGGGUGGCGGAAGAGCGUACGCGGUGAGACCCGAAAGAUGGUGAACUAUUCCUGAGCAGGACGAAGCCAGAGGAAACUCUGGUGGAAGUCCGAAGCGGUUCUGACGUGCAAAUCGAUCGUCUGACUUGGGUAUAGGGGCGAAAGACUAAUCGAACCAUCUAGUAGCUGGUUCCCUCUGAAGUUUCCCCCAGGAUAGCUGGAGCUCACGAGUAGUUAUACUCGGUAAAGCGAAUGAUUAGAGGACUUGGGAACGAAAUGUUCUUAACCUAUUCUCAAACUCUAAAUGGGUAUGAUGUCAAAGUUGCUUGAUUUUGAACUUUGGCGUUGAAUACGAGCUCCAAGUGGGCCAUUUUUGGUAAGCAGAACUGGCGAUGUGGGAUGAACCAAACGCGGAGUUGCGGUGCCAAAGUGCCCGCUCAUUAGACCCCAUAAAAGGUGUUGGUUGAUACAGACAGCAGGACGGUGGCCAUGGAAGUCGGAAUCCGCUAAGGAGUGUGUAACAACUCACCUGCCGAAUCAACUAGCCCUGAAAAUGGAUGGCGCUGGAGCGGGCCACCUAUACUCUGCCGUCAUAUGCUUGUAUUUUUGAGUCUUGCAAUGAUGUGUAAGAGGGUCGUAGUGGUUGCGUUGAAGGCUUUGGGUGUGCACCCAGCUGGAGCUUCCACUAGUGCAGAUCUUGGUGGUAGUAGCAAAUAUUCAAGUGAGAUCCUUGAAGACUGAAGUGGAGAAGGGUUCCACGUGAACAGCAGUUGAAUGUGGGUCAGUCGAUCCUAAGGCACCGGCUAAAGCCGUCUAGACACUGCGGGGAGAUGAGAUACUUAACGGUAUUUUGUCCACCCGUUUGCCGAAAGGGAAGUGGGUUAAUAUUCCCACACCAGGCAUGGGAGAUGGUGAUCCGCAAGGAUUACUUUGCGCGGUGACGCAAACGAACUCGUAGACCUCGUGUGGAGUCCGGGCCAGAGUUCUCUUUUCUGGUUUAGAGAUCAUGUCCCUGGAAGUGGCUCAGCCUGAGAUAGGGAUGCUGGUCUCGUAAAGCGCAGCGGUUCCUGUUGUGUCCCGUGUGCUCCACAUGAGCCGUGAAAAUGCGAGGGAGGCAAUUUAAAAUCUCCUGCCUGAUCGUACCCAUAUCCGCAGCAGGUCUCCAAGGUGAACAGCCUCUAGUCGAUAGAAUAAUGUAGGUAAGGGAAGUCGGCAAAUUAGAUUCGUAACUUCGGGAAAAGAAUUGGCUCUAAAGGUUGGGCCAGUCGGGCUGUUGUGUGAAACAGGUGGACUUUGCUCGUGGCUGCUUGAGCUUCCUUUCGGGGCGGCGCUUGUGGACUAGUAGUGAGGACUGCUUGUGGAGCGCUUCAGCUGCGUGCUAUUUCGCAAGAUAUAGUACUUCGAUUGGCGCUGAACAACCAGUUUAGAACUGGCACGAACUCCGGGAAUCCGACUGUCUAAUUAAAACAGAGGAGACGGAUGGUCCUUGCAGGACGUUGACCGUGUCUGAUUUCUGCCCAGUGCUCUGAAUGUUAAGCCAAGGAAACUUGAUUAAGCGCGGGUAAACGGCGGGAGUAACUAUGACUCUCUUAAGGUAGCCAAAUGCCUCGCCAUCUAAUUAGUGGCGCGCACGAAUGGAUCAACGAGAUUCCCACUGUCCCUAUCUACUAUCUAGCGAAACCACAGCCAAGGGAACGGGCUUGGCAAAUUUAGCGGGGAAAGAAGACCCUGUUGAGCUUGACUCUAGUCUGACUUUGUGAAGAAUCAUGAGAGGUGUAGCAUAAGUGGGAGUCGCAAGACAACAAUGAAAUACCACUACUUUCAUCGAUUCCUUACUUAAUCGGUAAAACGGGAGUUGUGUCUACGGACCUUCAUUUUUGUUUUAAGUACUAGCCACUCGGAGGUUGGUUGACUCGCGCCGAUGACAGUUGUCAGGCGGGGGAGUUUUGACAUGGGGGCGGUACGAUCUGUCAAAUUGUAACGCAGGUGUCCUAAGGCGAGCUCAGAGAGG